rnacentral:rRNA from 1 species
GAGUUUGAUCCUGGCUCAGAUUGAACGCUGGCGGCAUGCCUUACACAUGCAAGUCGAACGGCAGCACGGGGGCAACCCUGGUGGCGAGUGGCGAACGGGUGAGUAACAUAUCGGAACAUACCCUAGAGUGGGGGAUAACGUAGCGAAAGUUACGCUAAUACCGCAUACGCACUAAGGUGGAAAGUGGGGGAUUCGCAAGAACCUCAUGCUCAUGGAGUGGCCGAUAUCUGAUUAGCUAGUUGGUGAGGUAAAGGCUCACCAAGGCGACGAUCGGUAGCUGGUUUGAGAGAACGACCAGCCACACUGGAACUGAGACACGGUCCAGACUCCUACGGGAGGCAGCAGUGGGGAAUUUUGG